rnacentral:rRNA from 1 species
GACGACGCUGGCGGCGUGCCUAACACAUGCAAGUCGAGCGGAGUCGAGUCGACGGAAGCCUUCGGGCGGAAGAUGGUUGACUUAGCGGCGGAUGGGUGAGUAACGCGUGGGCAACCUGCCUCGAAGACCGGGAUAACAGACCGAAAGGGCUGCUAAUACCGGAUGUGGUCAAGGAUCCGCAUGGAUCUUUGAUUAAAGGGGAAACCCGUUUCGAGAUGGGCCCGCGUCCUAUCAGCUAGUUGGUGAGGUAAAAGCUCACCAAGGCGACGACGGGUAGCCGGCCUGAGAGGGUGACCGGCCACACUGGAACUGAGACACGGUCCAGACUCCUACGGGGGGCAGCAGUGGGGAAUCUUCCACAAUGGGCGAAAGCCUGAUGGAGCGACGCCGCGUGAGCGAAGAAGGCCUUCGGGUUGUAAAGCUCUGUCUGGAGGGACGAAGGAAGUGACGGUACCUCCGGAGGAAGCCACGGCUAACUACGUG